GGAAUAGCAAGUUGUAAUUAAACGCCUCAGAUCCUGAGAGUUUUUACUGAGGGAAAAGAUAACCCAUAGUCUAUUCAACUCGCUUCCUGGUGCAGUUCACUGCAACCUGUGAUGACAGGUUUUUGUAUAAUGUCUGCUGACAGUAACACAUUUGAAAGCGUAAAAGCUGUUAUCUUGUCAGCUCAUAAAAGCACCACAUCAGAAGAGAAGGUCAGCUUCUACAACCGCUGGGCAGAAAACUACGAUCAGUUGCUACAUGUGAAAGCCAUUUCCUCAGAUGUGGCCGUUUUGGAUUACCGGGCACCAAGUCUGGCAGCAGACUGCAUCUCGUCCCAUUUCAGCAACGUGCGAGAGGCAGCCGUCGUGCUGGAUGUGGCAUGUGGUACCGGACUGGUGGCCAAACAUAUGAAAAAACUCGGGUUUGAACAUUUUGUGGGUGUGGAUGGAAGCGAGGCCAUGCUGGGCAGGGCGAGAGAGAGCGGCUUGUACCAGGACUUGAAGCAGUGCAUGCUGGGAGAGGAGCCUCUCCCCGUACAGUGGGGCAGCUUUGAUGUGGUUGUAAUUGUUGGAGCAUUAAGUGCUGGUCAGGUCCCUAUUGGUAUCGCCAGACACUUGUGCAAUGCCACCAAACCAGGUGGCUCCAUUUGCAUGACAACCAGAAGUAACCAGGAUAACUUGGAGUACAAAGCUGCCCUUGACAGCGAGCUGAGGAAGAUGGAGGAAGAGGAGCUCUGGACUUGUUUAGAGGUCACCGAGGUCAAAGACUGGGAGAGGGCUGUAUCAGAGAAGGAGGACGGCUACAUAUCUGGAGUUGUGUACCUCUAUAGGAAACUGUAACACAUUAUUUUGAAUUGUUAUGAGUUGCAUGAUGCAGUUGGUAUCACUGUUGCCUUGCAGGAUGAAGGUUGUGGGUUCAAAUCCCAGGUUAGGAUCUUUCUGCAUGGAGUUUCUCCCUGUGCUUGCGUCCGUUCUGUCGGGGUACUCUGGCUUCCUCCAACGGUCCAAAAACAUGGACCGUUGUAUCUUUAAAUUGUCCUGAGAGGUGUGCAUGUUUUUCCUGGUGACCCGUCCAGGGUGCGACCCGAAUGUCGCCCAAAAACAGCUGAAAAUAUCCAGCAAAGGAUGAGCAGGUACAUGAGGAUGAUCGACAGCACUAAGAUCCUCCUCCUGGCUCUGAUUGGUUGUUUCUGACUGAGCGGUUCACUUUUGCAGGUUGCCAUAGCAACACUGGGAGGUGGCAGAUUAGCUUGAUUUAUUUCACAGAUUACCUGUAAAUAUUAAGCUUAGUAGUGUUUUUUUGUUGUUGUUGUUUUUGAUGUAUCAACAAUCUGUGAAGCCAAAACGUUUCUUUUUUUUAAAUCCGGGAGAGACCAAAAUGUUUCCCAUCCACCAGGUGUCACUGUUUCAUCAACUUUUUAUAGAAAUGGUUCUCCAGUGCGUCACUGUACAAGCAAUGUUUGGCUGAACCUCAAAGCCCUGAGGCGUGACCACAUCCAAGCUUUACCAAACAGAUGAAGCAGAUUUUUAAAAAAGAAUUAAGUUAAUAAAUACAAAUAAAUAAUGCAAAGAUAAA